UAAAGAAGAAAUCGACCAUAACGCCCCAUAACUGCUUGGACGAGCAGUUACCAAAAAGAUAACCAAAAGGGGCAGUUUUCCCCAUAACCGUCGCCCCGUAACUGCCCUUGGCGGUUUCUUCCUUUUCUUCAUUUUCCCCAAAUCGACUCCUGAGCGCUUGCUCAACUCCUGGUCCGACCUAUGAUGCAUUUGAAGUAACCGUCACACUCGGACCACCGGCUC
rnacentral:lncRNA from 1 species